rnacentral:rRNA from 1 species
UACGUAGGGGGCAAGCGUUGUCCGGACUCAUUGGGCGUAAAGAGCUCGUAGGCGGCUUAGCAAGUCGGGUGUGAAAACUCCAGGCUCAACCUGGAGACGCCACCCGAUACUGCUAUGGCUAGAGUCCGGUAGGGGACCACGGAAUUCCUGGUGUAGCGGUGAAAUGCGCAGAUAUCAGGAAGAACACCAAUGGCGAAGGCAGCUCUCUGGGACGGUACUGACGCUGAGACGCGAAAGCGUGGGGAGCGAACAGG